CAUGAUGAGGAGCGCACUGCUUCAAACCCUGGUUCUGGAUGAUGAGGAGCGCACUGCUUCAAACCCUGGUUCUGCAUGAUGAGGAGCGCACUGCUUCAAACCCUGGUUCUGCAUGAUGAGGAGGAGCUUGCUGCUUCAAACCCUGGUUCUGCAUUUCAUAAGGAAAAUGUUGGGUAUCCUGUUGUCUGUGAAAAGUGGAUGUCCCAGUGAUUGCAGGCAGCAAUCAACACAUACAUUGUAACUAUUUGCAUUCCAGCUGCAAAUUUACUGUAUAUUGAUAAGGCCUGAAUAAGUGGAUCAAGAACUCCUCAUACAUUCAACAGUAAAUUACGUUCAAUGAACAUAAAUUCAACCUCUUGAAUAAGAUUUAAUAAUUACAUACAAACGUUGGAAGAAAACAAUGCCUUUGUGACCUGGGUCCACGAGAUGGCGCACUUUGUAUUUAAAAUUGCUUAACUAGAACCACAUAUUACAUCAUUUCAAAGGUUAUAGCAAAGAGUGGUGUUCUCGUGGGAUAAUCCGACAAGUUAGUCAGUAAAAAUCAGGAUACUUACUGUGUAUAUGAGAUAUGUGACCUGAUGGACGCUCUGCCCAUGGAGAGCCGAGGCCUGGAGGAGGCUGUUUUCAGUGAUGAUCACAUUCUGAUGACUGCGGCCGACACCUUCAAUGCUGGAGUGGAAACCACUUUUUAGCUUCUGAAGCAGACCUUGACACAAAAUCUUUCAUGGAGCAAGCUGGAGCUGUUUCUCUUCACCAACUCACCUCUCCAGCAUUCUUGCACCACCACCCCCCUCCCCCCUCGAGUUGGUGCCCGACCUUGAAGGGGAAUACAUGGUAGUCCUGCAGCCUCAGAGCUAGUGUGUCACUUUGUGGCAUGGCUGGAUAACGAAAAACAAGAACAAUGAAACCCCCACAGUUCAGCGUGUUAUUGGACGGGUGUGCCAAAGGAUAUGCUCAGGUAUUGGGCAGAAAUCACUGGCUAUAUUGUAGGACAUCUACACAGGUUUCUUGUACAUCCCUGACGAAUUGAUGCCCAAAACUCAUUGUGUUUGUAAUUUUGGCCCCCAAAAUGUUCUCAAUCAGGAAUUGUUCAGUAAAAAGCCUUUUGCUGUUCCCACACAAUUCGGGCCAGGUCAUAUUGUGCAGUCACACCUUUUUUUUGCAGAUAAUGUUGAGUAAGUCAAUUCAGUUAUGCUCUAAAUAACAGUGCGGCUGCUUUGGUUCUUACAGGCCAACAACACAAGACACAAGUGUAUUUCACAUUAUUCAGAGUGGUGGGCAAUUCUGCAAGAGGUGCCCUUGGAAUUUGUGGAUGGUGUUCCUUGAUGUGAUGUGUCUGUGCUGUGACAUUGACAGGUGGCUUACGAGCAUGAAUUUGCAGUGUGCUGAGCAACCUCCAGCACUGGCAUUGUCACAUUUUAUUUUAUUUCUAAAUCAAAGGUUUUCUGAUUUUAAUUUAUACUUCCACUCAGUUUUGCAAAUGUACCAUCUAGAUUCUCUGCUACUGUGAAAUGCUUAUAAAAACAGGUUAAUUGAAAUGUAUUUAAAACAAGAUUCUAGAUUCUAAACGCAGGUUAAUUUUAGAGGGGGAUAAUGAUACUCUACUUGGAACUUGAUUAGCCAUCCGUGAGGUGUAUACCAGAUGCAGUAUUUUGCACUGAUCUUAAAAACAAUCAGUCACGAUUCCACUUAUCCCCCGCUGGUGAUGAAAUCCCCAGUGAAGUGGAUACAGUGCAGACAGGCCAUAUAUACUUCCUACUGCUCAGGAAUACCACUUAUCCAACUGCCAUGAAACUGGUAUUCACAUUAUCUAGUUUCAGGUAUUGAGAGUGUCAGCUGCUAGGGAUAUAGGGAGGUUGCCUGUGUGUCACACUUACAUUUUUCAACAUAUCUGGAUAAUGGCUUAUCAAAUUGUCAUUGUAAUUCUUUUUCUAUACUAUUCUGUGCAUGCUGUUGAUGUGUGUGACAGUCGCUUGCGUUUCAGCAUACUGCUCGCUCUUAAUUUUGAAUUUUAGGCUGUGGUGGAUGGUGUAUGUAACUGACAUACUUGCUUUUAAAGGCUGUUGAAACAUUGUUUCCUGUCUUGUUUUUAUUUGUUUACCAACAUUGGCUUUUAAUACAAAUGAUAAUGCAAGCCGCUGUAACCAGCGAUUCUGUCCAAGGAUCAGUCUAGGUUGAACUUUAGAUAAGUGUUUUUGGAUUUAGAAACUGAAAAUCAACAGACACCCAACAAAAGCUUAACAAUUAGAAUUAUUUUUUAACAGAAAAGAAAUCUUCUGUGCUUUGGUUUGCAUUAUUUUAUUAAAAUGAAGUCUGUUUAGCACUUAUAACAUUUACUUUCACAAAUUCACAGGUUCUUCAUGAGCAACAUUCACUGUCAAUUGCAAUUAAGCAGUUACAGUCCUAUUACUGUAAUGGUGAAAUUCUGAAAGUGAGUCGUCUUUAAUGGCUGGAUCCUUUAAAAAAAAUAUAUAAAGAAGAAUGACAAAACUUGACAAGUAGGAUGAAAACCAGACAGGAUGGAAUAGAGGAUAUGGUACUUGUAAAAUAUAUAUUUGAAAAAAUACACCCACAAAAGAGUUAUAAAAAAUGCAUCAAUGUAAGUACACAGAGUAAGAUAAUGGACACCUCUGAUCUGGCUAUAGAGAACAUCAAGUUUUGAUUUAAAACAGUAAAAGUACAACACUGUACUAAAGUGUUAAUGUUAAACACUGGAAACAAAAGGCCAAAUGGCCACUAUAACACAGGCUUCCAUACAUCUUUAACUGUUAGUUUGUAGCAAGCACACACAAGCAAGUUGAUUUUUCAGAAGUGAUAUAGAGCACAAACUUACAUCGGUUGUUUACCCCACUGAAAGCCAGAACAUCUUUCUAUAAACCGAGUGCUCGUCAUGCCUAUCCUUAGAAAGUAAACUCAUGAGAUGUGACUUGAUACAGACUUACAGAUCUUAACACAUAAAUCAAGCAUGGAACUGACACAGCCUGGCUGUGUAUAGAAAUUAGAAUUCCAAAAUAAAUGGGAAAAAAAAAUAAACGAGACAAUACAAUAGUCUUCCCC